rnacentral:rRNA from 1 species
UACAGAGGGUGCGAGCGUUAAUCGGAAUUACUGGGCGUAAAGCGUGCGUAGACGGCUAUCUAAGUCGGGUGUGAAAGCCCCGGGCUCAACCUGGGAAUUGCAUUCGAGACUGAAUAGCUAGGGUACGGUAGAGGGAAGUGGAAUUUCCGGUGUAGCGGUGAAAUGCGUAGAUAUCGGAAGGAACAUCAGUGGCGAAGGCGGGUCUCUGGGCCGAUACUGACGCUGAGGAGCGAAAGCGUGGGGAGCGAACGAG